UGGCCUCAAAUCAGGUAGGACUACCCGCUGAACUUAAGCAUAUCAAUAAGCGGAGGAAAAGAAACUAACAAGGAUUCCCCUAGUAACUGCGAGUGAAGAGGGAAAAGCUCAAAUUUAAAAUCUGGCAGCUUC
rnacentral:rRNA from 1 species